GACGAACGCUGGCGGCGUGCUUAACACAUGCAAGUCGAACGGAAAGGCCCUGCUUUUGUGGGGUGCUCGAGUGGCGAACGGGUGAGUAACACGUGAGUAACCUGCCCUUGACUUUGGGAUAACUUCAGGAAACUGGGGCUAAUACCGGAUAGGAGCUCCUGCUGCAUGGUGGGGGUUGGAAAGUUUCGGCGGUUGGGGAUGGACUCGCGGCUUAUCAGCUUGUUGGUGGGGUAGUGGCUUACCAAGGCUUUGACGGGUAGCCGGCCUGAGAGGGUGACCGGCCACAUGGGAACUGGGAUACGCCCCGGACUCCAACGGGGGGCAGCGGGGGGAAAUAUGCACAAUGGGCGGAAGCCUGAUGCAGCAACGCCGCGUGCGGGAUGACGGCCUUCGGGUUGUAAACCGCUUUCGCCUGUGACGAAGCGUGAGUGACGGUAAUGGGUAAAGAAGCACCGGCUAACUACGUG
rnacentral:rRNA from 1 species